rnacentral:rRNA from 1 species
UACGGAGGAUCCAAGCGUUAUCCGGAUUUAUUGGGUUUAAAGGGUGCGUAGGCGGAUUGAUAAGUUAGAGGUGAAAUGUCCGAGCUUAACUCGGGAACUGCCUCUAAUACUGUUGAUCUAGAGAGUAGAUGCGGUAGGCGGAAUGUAUGAUGUAGCGGUGAAAUGCGUAGAUAUCAGGAGGAACACCGGUGGCGAAGGCGGCCUGCUGGACUGCAACUGACGUUGAGGCCCGAAAGCGUGGGGAGCAAACAGG